UACGGAGGGUGCGAGCGUUGUCCGGAUUCAUUGGGCGUAAAGGGUGCGUAGGCGGUCGCGUAAGUCAGGUGUGAAAUCCCGGGGCUCAACCCCGGAACUGCACUUGAUACUGCGUGGCUAGGGUACUGGAGAGGAGACUGGAAUUUACGGUGUAGCAGUGAAAUGCGUAGAUAUCGUAAGGAAGACCAGUGGCGAAGGCGAGUCUCUGGACAGUUACCGACGCUGAGGCACGAAGGCCAGGGGAGCAAACGGG
rnacentral:rRNA from 1 species